rnacentral:rRNA from 1 species
GAAUCUGCCUGGUAGUGGGGGAUAACGUUCGGAAACGGACGCUAAUACCGCAUACGUCCUACGGGUAGAAAGCAGGGGACCUUCGGGCCUUGCGCUAUCAGAUGAGCCUAGGUCGGAUUANCUAGUUGGUGAGGUAAUGGCUCACCAAGGCGACGAUCCGUAACUGGUCUGAGAGGAUGAUCAGUCACACUGGAACUGAGACACGGUCCAAACUCCUACGGGAGGCAGCAGUGGGGAAUAUUGGACAAUGGGCGAAAGCCUGAUCCAGCCAUGCCGCGUGUGUGAAGAAGGUCUUCGGAUUGUAAAGCACUUUAAGUUGGGAGGAAGGGCAUUAACCUAAUACGUUAGUGUUUUGACNUUACCGACAGAAUAAGCACCGGCUAACUCUGUG